UGCAGGGUGGAGCAGUGGUAGCUCAUGAGUCUCAUAAGCUCAACUAUGUCGGUUCGAUUCCGGCCCCUGCAA
rnacentral:tRNA from 1 species